AGACAGAGUUAGGAAAUGUACCAAGCAAAAUUUAUGAUUUCAUGUUGAGGCAGUGCUUCAUUUUUGUUUCACAAAAAGUUCAAGAAUUUCCAGAACAAGAAUUUACAUGACCUUUCUAGUUUUGUGAUUAUUGAAAAGAAUCAACUCUAAAGACCGAUUCACUCACAAAUCGAACAUUACUUUGGCUUGUGAGCACGUUUUAUCUACACAAGUCCAAUGUAUGACAUUUCCAGGCCUGAAUUUUAAAAUUUCCUGAUAUUUCCUGGUUUUUAGUGACAGUGUUAACCACGCUGAUUUGAUCUCCACAUAUUUUGUUAAAAAUGUACCCCCCACUCACAAGUGUUAGGGUUAGUCAACUGACCAGUAAAAAAUAUAUCAAUGAAACAAAAUCUGCAGACUUUUUUUUUUUCAUGCCAGAACUGAUUUAAGGAAAUCUGUGGAAUUAUCCAGAACACAUUUAAUUAUGUUAAAAAUGGUAGACUGAACUAAGAAUACUGCACUUUUAUUGAUAGUUAAAGCAUUAAAAUCAAGCUGGGAAAAAAAAAAAAAUUGUACAAAAGGGGUAGGGAUGUACAGACCAUUGUGAAUGAUGGGUGUUUUAAUUCUGUGGAAAUCUACAGUUUCAUUCACGUUCAAGUUUCAUUCACCUUUCGUAAGUGUCAUACAACUGAAACAAAAUGAAAACAAAAACAGGGCUAUAUUUGACUCUGUAAACUACACUAGCUUACAGAGUUAAAAUACUGUUAUGGGUGGAAACAAAAAGGGAGAAAAACAAGUUUCUGCCUGUUCCUCUAAUUAGUGUGCAGUGGUUGUCUGUUGGCUGAUUAAAGAUUAAUCAUAAAUUCAUGAGCAUACAGGCUGUAGUUGGUGAGGCAGUGACUCCAGUCACCAGUAUGAGGGAGUAAUUCAAAUGAGAGUGGAGGAGGAAAAAUGCCACAAGCGCCACCAUUGGUGGAGAGAGAGCAGGGAUGCAAGAGACGGAGGAUGAGUGAGAAAGUUCAAGCUCUCUCAGCUGUUAUGCUGUUUAAAAUUCAAUCUACGAAGAACGCUGAUGUGGUCUCCCCCUCCCCAUACGCACUAGCGCUCUCUCUCUCUCUCUCUCUCUGCUUUAUGUGUUGUCUGCUACCCUAAUCAGAUAGAAGAGCUUUUCCUGUGCAGUUGUGUGGAUGUGGAGCUCUUGCAGCGGGACACUUGAACCAUGCCAAAGAGAGGCUGCUACUGGUCAGACUUUCCAGGGGGUUACUCUCUACAACGCGACGGCAAGACCAUCUGUCCAUGAAGUGACUCUCUUCUCAUCUCUUAUGAUUCUUCAAUUUUGCUGCGUGUCUAUUCAAAACAGCCUUCAUCAUCAAACCGUCCAUUAAGCCCCAACACAUAAACCCAAUAUGACGAUCACCAUUCAGAACGUCACUGCCACCUCCGCCAUCGUCAGCUGGCCCUCAUCUCCUGGUUGCAUUGACACGUUCUACAGCAUCAUGUACCACCCAAACUGGAACAACCUUCUGAUGGGUUAUACUCGCAAGAGCUUCCUACGUGAGGACAGGGUUCCUGUAAGCCAGACCUCAACCAGUCUGGGCAACCUCAGUCCACAGACUACUUACAUCCUGUGCGUCACCUGCCAGUCUGCGAACCCCACCAGAGAGCAGUGCCAGGUUUUCAGUACCCUGGAUGAGGGUACAAACCUUGGGGAGAAUGGUAGGGAGCUGGCCAUGGGAGUCUGGUUGGCCAGCAGUAUCCUUCUAUUGAUUAUUGCUGUGGCUCUACUUUGGGGAUGUCUCCACACAAUCUGUCCAGCAAAGAGAGACUCAAACCAGGACAACCAGCAAGGUUCUAACCCUCCUCACCUGGCUCUGGCACCCAUGGGUGGGAAUGUGGGAAGCGAAGGAAGAAAACAUCUCUACACGCCAAGUUGUAGCGAGGAGGACUCUCAGAAUGCAACAGUGAUUGAGAACCCUUUUCGAGCAGAGCACGGACGAGAGCCAGGAAAUGGGCCAAGCCGUGAAAUUAGAACGCAGGGUAAUAAACAGUACUUUGGGCCACAGUCAAAUUCAUAGGCCCGCAAAACCAUCAUAAUAUAGUUACCCCAAGAGUUCAAACUAUUAGAACCUACACUAUGAGGAUAAUCACUGGGGUGGAAACUAUUUUGAGGAAAUGAGACCUUAACGGUCAAAGCAAUUCUGUUGCUGUGGUACAUUUAAAUGUCAGAUGAAAACAUGCCUUCCUAAUUAACCUGAAGAAAUUAAAGAAACCCCUUUCGCUUGCAUCACAAUCCUAAAAACUUUAAAGUGCUCCAAGUAAUUUUUUCACAAAAAAAAAAAAAAAAACUUUCACCAGUGAAGUUUUACCUAAUAUUACCUUUGACAAAUAUGUUUAAAAUGAGGCCAAAGUGUACUUUGGUUUUCCGUGUUGCGGUAUCUCGGUAUCUAGCAAAUUUCAUCAUCAGCACGGUACGCAUGGACUUUCCGUGUGCAGCCUAGUUUGCUAGACACAUGGACAGUCUUUGUUUAUGGUCAGUGGAUGCGCCUGCCAUUGACUGUGCAAAAAGAAUAUCACAAAGCAGUCGAAAGGCUCAAGUGCUCGAAAAUGUGUGAGAUGGAACAGCACAUGGAAAAACAAAGUACACACAAGGCCUUAAGACUUAAAUCAUAUCAGGUAUCUAGAUACAACUAUUUUAUUCUACAUAAGGUAGGUUGCCCCCUCAUGGUGGCUGCCACUUGAGAUCAAAUGACUAAUCUUGUCUUGCAUUUCGAGUUAAUAAAACUUCAUGCUUCAGCGAAAUGUAAACAUAAAAUUACUUAGUGCACUUUUAAAGCAUAUAUAAGUGUUUAUUUUAUUGCCCUGUGUAAACUGAGUCUCUGUUGUGUGUUAAACGAAUAGAAAUCCAAUGUAUCUUGCCUGCCUAUCUGUCUUGCAAAUUAAAAAGCAUCUCAUGGUCAUUAUGAAUGUAUGUCAAUGAUGGCAUGUUAAUGUUAAAUAGAGUUUUAUAAACAAAGUUCGGGUGGAGCAUGUUCAUUUAAUCCGACCAAUCACAACAAUAGAGUAAGCAUAUAUAAACUGCUGCUUACCUCACUGCUAUGACCAUUCUUAUGGCAUCCCUCCUCCAUCCCAAAUCCAGCUUCUGUCUAUUAUUUCCAAACUCGAUUUAAAGGGGUUAGUUCAUCC